CGCCCCUACUGGGAAGUGAGGAGCCCCUAUUCAAGGAAUAAGAAAAAAGCAAGGGAAAGUGGAAAACAGACUUGUCACUGAAAUAUACCAUACCCAAUUCCAUACAUACCUUCCUAAUACCUGCCCAGUUGGAAGUUACAAUUAUUUUCUAUUAUUUGUUCACUAAAUAUACUGAGUGCCAUAUUUUUUACUAUAAAUACACACCCACAAGGCACAUCUUUGUUGUCUAUCAAGGUAUCCUCAUAUGUCCAAGAGACGUAAGAGCCCUCUCCUUAGGAUAUUCUUAGUCCAGAAUCAUCUAGGACAUACACCCCUUCCCAAGGGUAGCUAGUUGACCCACUGCCCAGACUAGGUCAAGUCCUGAUUUCAGGAACUCUGCCUCUUCUCCUUGAAUGUACCAUUAAGGCACCUUAACCUAUGAGUCAAGAAUUUCAACAGAUACCCUUCUUAGUUUUCUGAAGUAAUUUGUCACUCCCAGAAGUAGGGAAACACUUGUCAUUUUUACAUGCCCCCAGCUGUGGCACUGCCAUUUGCUCCCUGCUUGCCGUCUUGUCUGCCACAUCAUUCCUUAUCUAUUCAAUCACUUAGUCAUCUACAUCGCCAAUACUUUUUGACCAUACCUUCUGUGUUAGUGCCUGGGAAAUAACUCCUACCAUCAAGCAACUGUCUGUGUUUGAUUUCCCAGUUAGAGACUGCCAGGAUUGACUAAGAAAUAGUUCCAAGUCAGAAUAUCAUUAAUUUUUUGAUAGGAAAAUUAUUUACAAA
rnacentral:lncRNA from 1 species